rnacentral:rRNA from 1 species
CAGCAGCCGCGGUAAUACGUAGGGUGCAGGCGUUAAUCGGAAUUACUGGGCGUAAAGCGUGCGCAGGCGGUUUCUUAAGUCAGAUGUGAAAGCCCCGGGCUUAACCUGGGAACUGCGUUUGAAACUGGGAGACUUGAGUGUGGCAGAGGGGGGUGGAAUUCCACGUGUAGCAGUGAAAUGCGUAGAUAUGUGGAGGAACACCAAUGGCGAAGGCAGCCCCCUGGGUUAACACUGACGCUCAUGCACGAAAGCGUGGGGAGCAAACAGGAUUAGAUACCCUGGUAGUCCACGCCCUAAACGAUGUCAACUGGUUGUUGGGGGAUUAACUCCCUUAGUAACGAAGCUAACGCGUGAAGUUGACCGCCUGGGGAGUACGGCCGCAAGGUUAAAACUCAAAGGAAUUGACGG